rnacentral:rRNA from 1 species
UACGGGGGGGGCAAGCGUUGUUCGGAAUUACUGGGCGUAAAGGGCGCGUAGGCGGUUGGAUAAGUCAGCUGUGAAAACCACGGGCUUAACUCGUGGCCUGCAGUUGAGACUGUCUGGCUUGAGUGUGGGAGAGGAGAGUGGAAUUCCUGGUGUAGCGGUGAAAUUCGUAGAUAUGGGGAGGAACACCGGUGGCGAAGGCGGCCAUCUGGACGGAUACUGACGCUGAGACGCGAAAGCGUGGGUAGCAAACAGG